rnacentral:rRNA from 1 species
CAGUAGCCACGGUAAUACAGAGGGUGCGAGCGUUUAUCGGAUUUACUGGGCGUAAAGCGUGCGUAGGCGGCUAAUUGAGUCGGAUGUGAAAUCCCCGAGCUUAACUUGGGAAUUGCAUUCGAUACUGGUUAGCUAGAGUGUGGGAGAGGAUGGUAGAAUUCCAGGUGUAGCGGUGAAAUGCGUAGAGAUCUGGAGGAAUACCGAUGGCGAAGGCAGCCAUCUGGCCUAAUACUGACGCUGAGGUACGAAAGCAUGGGGAGCAAACAGGAUUAGAUACCCGCGUAGUCCCUGUCUCUUAUAC